UACAGAGAGAUUUGAGCCCAUCCCAA
rnacentral:piRNA from 1 species